AAUAAAUUACAAAAUUUUCUGUACAUUAUGAGUGAUGGAUUUUUUGCCUUCAAUGGAACGAUUUAUGAUAAAACCACUUGGUUACCGGACAAACAACAAACUAUUUCGACAUCGAGCUGGAUAAUUAUAGUAAUUGUCAGUCUGUUUUGGUGCUUGUGCUGCAUUCCAUUCCUCAUUUGGUUUUUCUGGCGCAUGGGAUCCUGUUCCAGUGACCAAAGCUACGUCUGAAUAUAUUUAAUAAUAUAUCAUGCUUGUGAUUAAAAAUUUACUGUAAAAUGCUUGGGAUCUAACAAAUUUCAGAAUACUAUCUAAAUCUGAAUGUAAUACAGAUCAAUAUCUUUGUAUGCUAUCAAGGAAUUUCAAUCAGAUAGUCGUACUCUGAUUGUGUAUUUUUUGAUAGCAUGGAAAGAGUAAUUUAAUUGAAUAAAUUUAAGAUUAAAUGCCAUGGAAUCUUAUGAAUUCUGAUUAUCUCUAAGCCAAACAAAAAGCUGUCUCAUUUUUU